GGCUUUGAUCCUGGCUCAGGACGAACGCUGGCGGCACGCCUAACACAUGCAAGUCGAGCGGGAUCUUGUGGAAUGCGUCUUCGGACAAGUGAAGCAAGUGAGAGCGGCGGACGGGUGAGUAACGCGUGAGUAACCUGCCCUAUACAGGGGGAUAGCCAUUGGAAACGGUGAUUAAUACCCCAUAAGACCACGCCAUCGCAUGAUGAAGUGGUAAAAACUGAGGUGGUAUAGGAUGGACUCGCGUCUGAUUAGCUAGUUGGUGAGGUAAGGGCUCACCAAGGCGACGAUCAGUAACCGGCCUGAGAGGGUGAACGGUCACACUGGAACUGAGACACGGUCCAGACUCCUACGGGAGGCAGCAGUGGGGAAUAUUGCACAAUGGGGGAAACCCUGAUGCAGCGAUGCCGCGUGAACGAAGAAGGCUUUCGAGUCGUAAAGUUCUGUUCUUAGGGAAGAAAAUGACGGUACCUAAGGAGAAAGCACCGGCUAAUACGUGC
rnacentral:rRNA from 2 species